GUCCAGGGAUGGGAAUCGAACCCACAGUGUUACCGGGCAGAUGCCAUGUCCACUAGGCUACCCUGGA